AGAAGCUUAGGAUAAUAACCUAAACCAGGAGCCUUCAAAGCCCCAAAUAAGAGUCACAAUCUCUUAGUUUCUG
rnacentral:tRNA from 1 species